CCAUAUUGCGUUGAAACACCGGUUUUCGUAUGACAACCGAAGUUAAGUAAAGUCCAGCCUGGUCAGUACCUCGGUGGGUGACCUUUUGUGAAUACUAGUUGUUGUAAG